UGCGUAGGCGGGUCUUUAAGUCAGGGGUGAAAUCCUGGAGCUCAACUCCAGAACUGCCUUUGAUACUGAAGAUCUUGAGUUCGGGAGAGGUGAGUGGAACUGCGAGUGUAGAGGUGAAAUUCGUAGAUAUUCGCAAGAACACCAGUGGCGAAGGCGGCUCACUGGCCCGAUACUGACGCUGGGGCACGAAGCGUGGGGAGCAAACA
rnacentral:rRNA from 1 species